AAGAGGUUGGAGCUUCCAGUCACAUCCAGGCUUCCAGGAGUCCUGAAGGGGAGCAAAACCAAAUCCAAUCUCAUGUUGACAGCAAGGCAACGAAGGGCCUGGAUAUCCGAUGAAGGGAUACAGGUUCCCCUCGGGUCCCGAAGGCAAGGCAGGCUCUCGGGAGAAGAGCUUGGGAAGUUAGAUCCAGGAAGGAAACGAGAGGCACCGGCGGGGCUGGAGGAUCCCACACUCGCCCCCGUUGGCCAUGGGGUGGCCCGCUUGACAUCCUGGCCAGCAUCCCUCCCUCAGCCGGUGGCCAUCGAGAGAAACGGUCGAGGCAAAGCGCGCAAAAAACUGUCCUUUUUAUUAUUAGUUCUCUUCACAAACACAGCCUGAAAGAACGGAAUGACGAGCCACUCCUGUUGUGUUUCUCCCUCAAGGGAGGGCCGUCGAAGUUGUAUUGUCACUCCCCGCAGCAACUUGAGGGGCGAGAGAAAGAAGGCAACAACGUGUUGCUCCCUUUUUUUGCCUUUUUGCCAGACAGAUGGGCACCGAAAGGAGGCGGGGAGGGAGGGAAGGAAGGCGGGAGGCAGGACCAGGCGCGCAAGGUGUCUGCCGCUGCUGCGCUUCCUCGAAGAAGGACUGGAUCAUGCUCAUCUCCUAUCCUACAUCAUACGACUGGACUUUCAAUGCAUACCCUAGAACUGUGUCCAUCAAUCCAGUUUCCUGGGCUAAACAUUGCCAAAUGCAACAUUAGCAUUGCGUGACUCAUAGUGCAAAGCAUCACUUCUGGUGGCACAUGACCCAGAAGUGCCAUUUCCAGUUCCUGUCAUGGCUGUGUUUUGUCUAUGCAACACGCUCAUGGCUAGUCUACAGACGCUGAGCCUUAGUUGUGCCACAGAUCAGUGAUAAACAUUUACUGUGUUUUCCCAAAGUAUAGAAGUUGCCAUUCAAAUAUUUUAAUAUUCUAAAUGCCCUAGCAUGCUUACCUGGAAACAAGUUUCAAUGAAAUCUAUAAUGAUUUAGGAUGCAAUAGAACUAAUAAAAAUGAUAGGAAUUUUUUCCACAGAUUUUUUUCCAUGCCAAGAUAGCUUAGUUGGCUUGCACACCAAAUUGUUUUUCUUCUCUAUUCUUAAAAAAACAAACAGUCCUUCCAUUUGCAUUCUCUGAAAAAAAAACUUACAAGAAAAGAAAGCGACAGAAAUAUACACAGCGUUAUUUGUAUUGCUGCCGGUUUCUUUGUGCUCAGCUGGUAUGAAAGGAGGUAAUGAUCAUAAUGAGCUUGCACUCACAAUUCUGCUCUUCAAGACUCCCAAGGGGUGGGUUGCAAAUAGAUAUUAUGAAUGUAUGCCUUUUUACAAAAGGAUAGUCUUUCAAAUAUAGAAAGAGAGAUUUUGCUAGCCUACUUUUAAGGGGCACCUGGAUGUACUUUAUUAUAUUUGCAUUUAGAUGUUCACCUCCCCAAUGUUUUUGUGCAAAGAAGAUACAGUACAACACUCUUAUCCAUGGAUUCAAUAUUUACAGUUUCACUUACCUAUACUCUAAAAAAUACACCCACCCUCCUGAAAGUAUUUGUAGACUCUCCACAUUCUCCAGUACAAUUUUGUGGUAUGCUUCUGAUCCAAAUGUAGUAAAAUAUAGGGUUCACUAUUAUUCAAUUUUUCAGGUAUCCAUGAGGGGUCUUGCAAGAUAUUUCCCAUGAAUAAAAGGAUGAAGGUCAUACUAUAUAUGGGGCCAUCAAUUAUGUGGUUAUGAUUAAUAGAUUAUCCCACCUUACUGUUUUCAAGGAAGAUAGGUAUGCAUUUAUCUGCUAUUUAAUGUGUGGGAUGACCUCAUUCUAUCAGCUGUUAUUUUUUUAAUUUUAAAUACAUUUCAUUUGAAAAUUGUGGUACACCCACAAUACACAUACACAUAUAGAUGCCCAUAUGCACAUCACUUAGGCAUCCCGCCACCCACAGUACCAUUACCCUUCAUCCCACCCCCAGUUCAACCCACCACUUUGGCUUCCAUCACUAAUCCUCGCAGAGUUUAUGCACUUUUUUUACCCCUCUAUACUUUCCACCAGCUGUUAUGAUCCCGUUAGGUAUGGAGGUCAAGAUGGUUGGAAAUAUACUAUCAGAUGGAGAUAGAGUGCAGCAAGAAGUAUGCUCUCAUUACCAAAGACACAGUAACUAUCUCCAGAAUCACUUACUAAGCACAUCCAACAGCAAAACAUAGAAGAGCAAGAAGCAGAUCAGUCUGUUUCACCAGCUGCCCCAGCAUAUUGUAAAGGCAUAGACCUGUACAUUUGGCCACCAAAAUGGAAAUCUUAAGAGAGCCAAAAGCUGGUGGGAAAUAAGCUUUCAAAUGUUCAAAUCAUAUUUGUUCAUUUAUUCAAGGCUUGCCUAAGUCAAUUCAUUUCAUAUGUACUGGUUAUUAGUUCUGAAUAAGAAGUUUGCUGAAAUAUGAGGCAUUGCUCUGUUUUCUUGUGAAGUCAUUUCUGUCUCUGGUAACAAAUUUUCCACUAAAGAAGUCACGCCAUAGAAUGUUUCUACCCCAUCAACUUUUUUUUCAUUUCAGGAGUGACUUGAGAAACUGCAAAUUGCUUCUGUUGUGAGAGAAUUGGCCGUCUGCAUGGAUGUUGCCCAGGGGAUGCCUGGAUGUUUGAUGUUUUGCCAUUCUGUGGGAGGCUUCUCUCAUGUUCCUGCAUGGGGAGCUGGAGCUGACAGAGGGAGCUCAUCUGGGAUAUAUGGUAGUUUAACCCAUUGUGCCACCAGGGGCUCCUACUCCAUCAACUAAGUAUACCUGUGUGUCCCCUCCCUAAAAGGAAAUGUGAGUAAUAGGAUUACUAACCUAAAAACCAUCCUAUUUUAAGUAAUCUGAAUUCUCUAGAGACUGGAUUCAGGUAAAACCUAGCUGGCCAGCUGAAGUCCUGAACAAGAGAGAUAUCCCUGAAUAAAGGUUUUCAGUCCAUUUGAGGGAGAGUAGAAACUAUUAGCAUAGUUUCUAAACAAAAUUUGACAGGUGGUGGUUUUACCUAUUAUUGUCCCUUCAAAAUUGCUUUUGACUAAUUACAAAUUUAGACAGUGUUGUUUGAGAGCUCCGUUUAGAUGAGUAAUGAAGCUUUUUGGGUGAUCAAAAAUGUGCCACACUUUUCUCUCUCUUUACAUUUUGCAGUGUUUAUCUGAGCCGCCCAAAUAAUAAAAAACAAACUACAAACUACAAAACCUUAACUAAUUUAUAUAAAGCAAAAACUAUAACUAUCACAAUAAGAAGGAGAAAGGAUGCCCUCCAGUUAUCAUUUCUGCAGUUGUAGUUAACACUUAAAAUCUACCUCUAUCUUAUUUGUGGGUAGCGUGCCAUCUAUAUACCGUAUUUUCUGGUAUAUAAGACAACUGGGUGUAUAAGACAACCCCAAACUUUUCCAGUUAAAAUAUAGAGUUUGGGAUAUACUUGCCCCCUCUUCCAACGCACACCAAAUAAAAAGAUGAUCAGAGCGAUAGCGAAAACAUGCCUCUUUCACCUGUCUGGCCUGCUCUUGUAUUCUAUUACUGUCCCUCCUUCUUUGCCUCUCUGAUCUCGCACAUGCGAGAAUGUGCCGCUUCACUGCAGUCCUCAGGAGUGAGAUCUGAGAGGCAGAGAAGGAGGUAUGGUAAUAGGAUACAAGGGUGGGCCAGAUGGGUGAAAGAGACAUGUUUUUCUGGGCACAGCGCUGCUCUAUCUCUUUUUUCCAUCCCCACCUGCAGCUUGCUCGGCCGUUCGCUUACACCUUCCUGGUGAGUCACCCCCUCACCUCGUCAUUGGGACUGCUUUAAGUCACUUCUUUCCACAAAUCCUGGUGAGUGGAUUUUUUUCUACCGUACUUGUACAGCGCCGCCCUUGCGGCUUUCAUACGGUCACCACAUAUGGCAGGGAUGCAACCACCGCCGUUUUUGAGCUCCCUCACCAUAUGCGGUGACCGCAGAUUCUCCAGUCUGGCUCGGAAGUUUCAGCACCCGCCCUAUAAGGUGAUACCCAGCGUAUAAGAUGGCCCUUGACUUUUGAGAAGAUUUUCCUGGGUUAAAAAAGUAGUCUUAUACUCCAGAAAAUACGGUACUUAAUUCAUAUUAAUUAAUUUAAACAACAAUAAUAAAAUCACAUUUGUUUUAUUUCAGAAAGUCAAUGAGGGAGCUCCAGUCCUUCAAAAACAUUACUAGUGACUAAAAAAAAAAAAUCAAAAUAGACGGUUUGUCCAUUUCUGCUAGGUCGUUAAGUUUUAAUAACCACUCAUCUUUAGUAGGUAUUAAGUCGUUCUUCCAUUUCUGCACAUAUAUAUAUAUAUGCACAUAUAUAAUAUUCUUACAGCUGUUGUCAGAUAUUGGAUUGGUCUUUCUCCUGGAAAAGCAAUAAAGUUUCACUCAUUGUUGAUAACAGGUAACCUUUUAUGAUGAUCCAGAGGAAGAUCCUUCUCAUUCUCCAGAUGUUCCACCCAUACACUAUUCCUAUGAACUUGAAGGUAAUCUGACAGGACAUUGCAGUCUCCUAUCUAUUUUAAACACUGCUUUGUAACAUGGAAAUGCUUUCACAGGCAAAUAUUGAGGUUUAAAGCCUGUACUAACAGGCAUCUAUGAAAAAAAAAUCCCAAGCUGAAUAAUGAAUACAUUUUUAAAGAUCUAUACCAUUGCCCUCUUAUCUAUGGAUCUGAUUCAUACUGAAAGCCAGAAAUCAAUUCGAUCUCUCUAGAUACAAACUAUAAAGAGCUUUUUUUUACAUUUCAGUUGUUUUGCCUUUUGAUGAGCGAUAGAUGAGUAAAGUGUUUAUCAAGCAGCAAGAAACCCUUUAUGUUUUUCAGUGAAAUCUGUUCACUGUUCCCAUCUAAGAACUAAUUGGCAAGAAUACAAAGGAAGAGAAGUGCAUUUUAUCUGGCAUAAUCCCUGUUCUACUUUGGCUACAAAAUCAGACAAAUUGACCUUGCUAGCUUUGUUUACUAGAUCCUUUUUAUUGACAUCUCUCUUUCACCCAGCUGUCCUAUUUUACUGUAUUAUAGAUGCCAAAUUAUCCUAGAGAUUUUUCUCAUCUCUCUCCAGAACUGGAAUAUCAAGCUUACAGUCCUUCGAAGUAACUUCUCUAAUUUCCCAUAGGGCUCCUUCAAAGUGGGUGGCUCAACUAUGACUGCUUAUGAUAUUAAAUGUCUUCUCAUUUAUCUUAAUUCACUAGUUGCAACAUUAACACUGUUUUUUUUA
rnacentral:lncRNA from 1 species